rnacentral:rRNA from 1 species
CACUGGUGGACCGGUUGUAGCGCCAGCUGCAGUGCCGGGUAGCUAAGUACGGAAGAGAUAACCGCUGAAAGCAUCUAAGCGGGAAACUCACCUCAAGAUAAGACUUCCCGGGGGUUAAACCCCCCUAAAGGAUCGUUGAAGACCACGACGUUGAUAGGUCGGGUGUGGAAGCACAGCAAUGUGUUAAGCUAACCGAUACUAAUUGUCCGUGUGGCUUGAUCCUAUAACCUUA